GUGCAGCAGUCGCGAAAACUCCGCAGUACGCGAAAGCGUGACGGGGCUACCCCGAGUGUCGUCCGCUGAGGACGACUUUUCCACGCUGUAAGGAGGCGUGGGAAUAAGGAGAGGGCAAGUCUGGUGUCAGCCGCCGCGGUAAUACCAGCUCUCCGAGUGGUGGGGAUGUUUAUUGGGCCUGAAGCAUCCGUAGCUGGCUGAGCAAGUUCUCCGUUAAAUCCAGCGAUUUAAUCGUUGGACUGCGGAGGAUACUGUUCGGCUAGGGGGCGGGAGAGGCCGACGGUAUUCUCGGGGUAGGGGUGAAAUCCUAUAAUCCCGGGAAGACCACCAGUGGCGAAGGCUGUCGGCUAGAACGCGCCCGACGGUGAGGGAUGAAAGCUGGGGGAGCGAACCGGAUUAGAUACCCGGGUAGUCC
rnacentral:rRNA from 1 species